CGGGACGGGUGAGUAAUGUCUGGGAAACUGCCUGAUGAGGGGGAGUAACUACUGGAAACGGUAGCUAAUACCGCAUAACGUCGCAAGACCAAAGAGGGGGACCUUCGGGCCUCUUGCCAUCGGAUGUGCCCAGAUGGGAUUAGCUAGUAGGUGGGGUAACGGCUCACCUAGGCGACGAUCCCUAGCUGGUCUGAGAGGAUGGCCAGCCACACUGGAACUGAGACACGGUCCAG
rnacentral:rRNA from 1 species